GAACUGCAUCUGAUACUGGCAAGCUGAAGUCUCGUAGCGGGGAGUAGGAUUCCAGGUGUAGCGGUGAGAUGCGUAGAGAUCUGGAGGAAUACCGGUGGCGAAGGCGGCCCCCUGGACGAAGACUGACGCUCAGGUGCGAAAGCGUGGGGAGCAAACAGG
rnacentral:rRNA from 1 species